GACGAACGCUGGCGGCGUGCUUAACACAUGCAAGUCGAACGAUGAAGAAAAGAAUCGAAGCUUCGGCAGAAAUUCAUUUCGGAUUAGUGGCAGACGGGUGAGUAACGCGUGAGCAACCUACCUCUUACAAAGGGAUAGCCUCGGGAAACCGGGAUUAAUACCAUAUAACAUUGCGACGAAGCAUUUCGAUGCAAUCAAAGCUACGGCGGUAAGAGAUGGGCUCGCGUCCCAUUAACCGGAUGGUGAGGUAACGGCUCACCAUAGUGACGAUGGGUAACCGGGCUGAGAGGGUGAACGGUCACACUGGAACUGAGACACGGUCGAGACUCCUACGGGAGGCAGCAGUGGGGAAUAUUGCACAAUGGAGGGAGCUCUGAUGCAGCGACGCCGCGUGAGUGAUGAAGGAAUUCGUUUCGUAAAACUCUGUUCUAUGGGAAGAAAAGGACUGUACCAUAGGAGAAAGCUCCGGCUAAAUACGUG
rnacentral:rRNA from 1 species